rnacentral:rRNA from 1 species
GAUGAACGCUGGCGGCGUGCCUAAUACAUGCAAGUCGAGCGAACGGACGAGAAGCUUGCUCCUCUGAUGUUAGCGGCGGACGGGUGAGUAACACGUGGAUAACCUACCUAUAAGACUGGGAUAACUUCGGGAAACCGGAGCUAAUACCGGAUAAUAUUUUGAACCGCAUGGUUCAAAAGUGAAAGACGGUCUUGCUGUCACUUAUCGAUGGAUCUGCGCUGCAUUAGCUAGUUGGUAAGGUAACGGCUUACCAAGGCAACGAUGCAUAGCCGACCUGAGAGGGUGGUCGGCCACACUGGAACUGAGACACGGUCCAGACUCCUACGGGAGGCAGCAGUAGGGAAUCUUCCGCAAUGGGCGAAAGCCUGACGGAGCAACGCCGCGUGAGUGAUGAAGGUCUUCGGAUCGUAAAACUCUGUUAUUAGGGAAGAACAUAUGUGUAAGUAACUGUGCACAUCUUGACGGUACCUAAUCAGAAAGCCACGGCUAACUACGUG